UUCAAAAUGGUAGAAAAUAAAUCUUAAAUAAAAAAAAAAAAUUUUUAAAAAAGGACAAAACUGCUGGUGAGA